GUCGCCAGUCGUCACUACCGCGCCCUCCUUCGCCAGUUUGUCGCCACCCCAUUCUCCAUUGGAGUAGAGGAGGGUCGCCGGUCACCCUCCGUCGCCGCCGGUCUUCACCCCAGCGUCUGCCUCAGCCUCCGCCCCACGUUUGCCUGCAAUUUUCUAUCCCCUCUUUAAGAUAAAAAUCAUGUUUCAACUACUUCCGGUCAAAUGGUAUCCUUCUUGGUUCUAUAUUUGAUAGAAGCCUAUCCAAAGAUGUUUACUAUGGGUUAAUAAUAAAAGUUGUUGCAAUAUCAUGGGUUAAUAAUCAGAACUUUAGCCUCCUUCAAGAGUUUUACCAGACUACACUGAAUGCCCUUUUGAAUUGAAAUUAUCAGUAGAUAGAGAGGAGACAAUCCAUCUACAUCAUCAUUAAGACUAGCUGCAGACCUGCCAAAGGCUGAUAAGGUCCUUAUCAUUGAAAGGGUCAUUGAAUCACUUUGCAGCACUUCUACCUGCAGUAGAUUUGUCCAUGUCCCACAAGUACAAAACUGAUGACUGUUAGGCAACAAAUGAUGGCAUGCCAUUGCUGUUGGAAUUAACAGUGAUGCUGCUGAUAUUGGCAGUGAAGUUGGGGAAAGCCUGGUUGAAGAAAGAACAUGAUGCGCAAAUAAUUGCAAGAGAAGAAGAUCUGGGUGCAUCAUUGGAGGAUGAAGUAGUGGCAGUACAGGAAUAAGUGAAGCAGAUAAAGGCAUAGGAGGAAGAAUUUGAAACCUUUGAUCUCAAAACUGUGCACAGGAAAAACAGGUUUUGGAUCCCUUGGGUUGAUGACAUCUGUCCUGGUAUGCUUCACUUUAAAUACUUUUUUGUGAAUGUGUUGUUUUGCUUGUCCUAUUGUAUGAUGCAUUUUUUUGUCAUCCCACAUCUCAAUUUAAAUUAGCAAUCAAUUUUAGGUCUUUGUAUUUUAAUGGUAAUCUUAAUCUUGAGCCUAACUGCUUGAGAGGUGUAUGUAUUUGGUCCUAAGAUCUAAAUCGAAGGAGGUAAAUUCUCAAUUCAAUAUUUACCCAAGCUAUAAUUAUUGAACUUGUUAAUUUCCUUGUAAUCUUGUUUCCUUUCAAUACUCUCCAAGGUUAGGGGGUUUUAUAUGUGGUAGUGUAAUGAUUAAUACCUUUCCUGAAAACAGUUAUGCUUGUUAUGUGAUGUAUUUAGUUUCUUGGUGAUAUUCUAUGCUUUGAAUUUCAUUUGUUUUUUAUUGGUUGCAGCAAGGUGGUAAGGCUUUCAAUUGCACAAGCUUUGACUAUAUACUCUUUGUUAGCCUCCAUGUAAUGUCAUUUUCUUUGAUCUGAGAGCAAUGUUUUGGUGCAGUAGUGGCAUAAGGCUUGUACAAGUGCAGUAGUGCAUUGUUUCUGUGAAGUUCAGAUCAGUGAUUAUUUGUGAUGAGUAGUGCAAUGUGUUUCGGACGCAGAUUAUUCCCAACUCCGGAUGCAAAUGAUUUAUAUAUUGAUUGAGUUUACUUUAGAUAUUGUACUAGUGUACGGUUAUUUGUUAUAAUUAGUUUCUUUGUCUUUAGUCUUUACAAAGUUGUAUGAAACAUUUCACUUUGUUAAUGAUGAUGAAGUCUUUUAAUA